UAGUUGUACGUCGUAGGCUACGACGGACGACGCUGGCGGCGUGGAUUAGGCAUGCAAGGUCGACGGUAGGGCUUUAUCGUAAGAUAGAGUUUGAGAGUGGCGAACGGGUGAGUAACACGUAGGAAUCUACCCUUAAGACGGGGACAACCCAGGGAAACUUGGGCUAAUACCGGAUGAGAGUGCGAGAGAUUGCAUUUAAAAGGAUGGCGAAAGUUGUCGCUUAGGGAUGAGCCUGCGGUCUAUUAGUUAGUUGGUGAGGUAAGAGCUCACCAAGGCGAUGAUAGAUAGGCGGCCUUAACGGGUGGUCGCCCACACUGGGGUUGAGAUACGGCCCAGACUCCUACGGGAGGCAGCAGUCGAGAAUAGUCUACAAUGGCCGGAAGGCUGAUAGUGCGACGCCGCGUGAACGAGGGAGCCCUUCGGGGUGUAAAGUUCUUUCUAUACGAGCAGUGCUAUAUAUAUGGAUAGUAUAUAUAGAGGGAUAGUAGUAUAGGAAUAAGCAACGGCUAACUCCGUG
rnacentral:rRNA from 1 species